GAUCCAGUGGCGAAGUGGUUUCGCGUCCGCCUAGCUUGCCAAGUUAGUUGAUGUUCUGCGGAAGACACCCGUUCGAUUCGGGUCUGGGUCA